UGGGGAAUAUUGCACAAUGGGCGCAAGCCUGAUGCAGCCAUGCCGCGUGUGUGAAGAAGGCCUUCGGGUUGUAAAGCACUUUCAGCGGGGAGGAAGGGAGUAAAGUUAAUACCUUUGCUCAUUGACGUUACCCGCAGAAGAAGCACCGGCUAACUCCGUGCCAGCAGCCGCGGUAAUACGGAGGGUGCAAGCGUUAAUCGGAAUUACUGGGCGUAAAGCGCACGCAGGCGGUUUGUUAAGUCAGAUGUGAAAUCCCCGGGCUCAACCUGGGAACUGGAUCUGAUACUGGCAAGCUUGAGUCUCGUAGAGGGGGGUAGAAUUCCAAGUGUAGCGGUGAAAUGCGUAGAGAUCUGGAGGAAUACCGGUGGCGAAGGCGGCCCCCUGGGCGAAGACUGACGCUCAGGUGCGAAAGCGUGGGGAGCAAACAGG
rnacentral:rRNA from 1 species